GUGCCAGCAGCCGUGGUAAUUCCAGCUCCAAUAGCGUAUAUUAAAGUGGUUGUUGGGAAAAGCUCGUAGUUGAACCUUGGGCCUGGCUGGCCGGUCCGCCUCACCGCGUGCACUGGUCCGGCCGGGCCUUUCCCUCUGUGGAACCCCAUACCCUUCACUGGGCGUGGGGGGGAAACAGGACAUUUACUUUGAAAAAAUUAGAGUGCUCCAGGCAGGCCUAUGCUCGAAUACAUUAUCAUAGAAUAAUAAAAUAGGACGCGCGGUUCUAUUUUGUUGGUUUAUAGGACCGCCGUAAUGAUUAAUAGGGGACAAUUGCGGGCAUAAGUAUUCAACUGUCAGAGGUGAAAUUCUUGGAUCAGUUGAAGACUAAGUACUGCGAAAAAAUUGCCAAAGGAUGUGUUCAUUUAUUCAGGAACGAAAGUAGGAGAGUGAAGACGAUAAGAAACCGUCGUAGACUUAACCAUAAACUAUGCCGACUAGGCGCGGACGGUGGUAUUCAUGACCCGGUCGGAACCUUCCACAGAAGACAAAGAGCUUGGGCUCCUUGAGAGGAAUGGCGCAAGGCUGAAAAUAAAGAAAAUUGACGAAGAGAGCACCAGAGAUGGGAGAUGCGGCUCAAUUUUGUCUCUGCACGGUGGACGCAGCGGGUCAGACACAUUAGGAGUAGAGGAUGAGAGAGUCUCCUCUUUUAUUUAGUGAGGAGGGGUGCAUGCCCACUCUAUAAUUGGUGGAGGGGUUUAGUCUCUCUUAUAUUGUCGAAUCAUACUG
rnacentral:rRNA from 1 species